UACGAGGGGUGCAAGCGUUAAUCGGAAUUACUGGGCGUAAAGCGUGCGUAGGCGGUUUCUUAAGUCUGCUGUGAAAGCCCCGGGCUCAACCUGGGAAUGGCGGUGGAUACUGAGAAGCUGGAGUACGGUAGAGGAAGGUGGAAUUCCCGGUGUAGCGGUGAAAUGCGUAGAGAUCGGGAGGAACAUCAGUGGCGAAGGCGGCCUUCUGGACCAGUACUGACGCUGAGGCACGAAAGCGUGGGGAGCAAACAGG
rnacentral:rRNA from 1 species